GACGUAGGGCGCGAGCGUUGUCCGGAUUUAUUGGGCGUAAAGAGCUCGUAGGUGGCCUGUCGCGUCGGCUGUGAAAACUCGGGGCUCAACUCCGAGCUUGCAGUCGAUACGGGCAGGCUAGAGUUCGGUAGGGGAGACUGGAAUUCCUGGUGUAGCGGUGAAAUGCGCAGAUAUCAGGAGGAACACCGGUGGCGAAGGCGGGUCUCUGGGCCGAUACUGACGCUGAGGAGCGAAAGCGUGGGGAGCGAACAGG
rnacentral:rRNA from 1 species